ACCUACGGGCGGCAGCAGUGGGGAAUAUUGGACAAUGGGCGAAAGCCUGAUCCAGCAAUACCGCGUGUGUGAAGAAGGCCUGCGGGUUGUAAAGCACUUUCAGUGGGGAGGAAUGUCUUAAUGUUAAUACCAUUGAGAAUUGACGUUACCCACAGAAGAAGCACCGGCUAACUCUGUGCCAGCAGCCGCGGUAAUACAGAGGGUGCGAGCGUUAAUCGGAAUUACUGGGCGUAAAGAGUGCGUAGGUGGUUGGAUAAGUCAGAUGUGAAAGCCCUGGGCUUAACCUGGGAAUUGCGUUUGAUACUGUUUAGCUAGAGGAUGGGAGAGGGAAGUGGAAUUUCCGGUGUAGCGGUGAAAUGCGUAGAUAUCGGAAGGAACACCAGUGGCGAAGGCGGCUUCCUGGACCAUAACUGACACUGAGGCACGAAAGCGUGGGGAGCGAACAGGAUUAGAUACCCUUGUAGUCCCU
rnacentral:rRNA from 1 species